rnacentral:lncRNA from 1 species
AGUUAACUUCACUACAUUCACAUAAAAAUAUAAUAUGCCAAAUGGCAUUUGAAAUAAAAUUUAAAACCCUAGAAUUCUUUCUUCAAAGAAAAGCGUCACUGGAAAUGAGGUAUGUAAUAAAAGCUGGGUAGGUUUCUCUGUGCUAAAUCCCAGCUUCUGGAGUUAUCACUAUAGUUCCUGACAGUUCUUCAGAGUAGUUUCAAAAACAUUACUACAAUAGUCAACUGCUCAGAUACCACAAUACAGAUAAGGACAUCACUCCCGCUACAACUGCUGGAUGG